UUAAAUACUGAGGUAAUUAGAAGGAUGUCAGCACAAACACCUCCCCAACAGUAAGCUGCCAGCAAACGAUACAAGGUUGGACUUCCUCCCCCAACCCCAAUUUUUUUCAGUACUCUGUUUUUUUUCUGCCAUUCUACUCUCAUUUUUAUUUUUAUUUUUUCCAUAUUUAUUAUUAUAUUUUUAUGGUAUAUUUCUAUUUUACCUUAUAUUUCAUUAAUUGACACAGUCUUUUUUUUUUUUUUUUAUAUAUUACUUAGUAGUGUGCACACUCAGUAUAGCAAUAAUUAUUAUUGUACAAGGUUUUUUUGUCAUUGUAUUUUAAAUAUAUUUUUAGACUUCAUAUAAGAUUCAGAAAAUGUUUAUAUGUUUAUCAACAUGUGAUUAGACUGUAUUUUUUGCGCUACCUUAAGCAUUUUUUUAAAAUUCUUUAUUUUUAUUGUGCAGGUAGGUACAAAACUGUGUCACAAUGCCACAACAGCGUAUAUUAGGAUGUGUAUACAGGUUAGGUAGUGGCAUGAGUUCCUUGCACAUUUUUAACAUAUGUAUUCAAGCUUAGCAUUACGAGUAGGUCUUCAGAAUGAAAAAUACAGCUUUUAAACAACAUGCUUGAGUUACAGGAAAACAACAUUGUUCAGGAUUAUUUCAGUUCAGGCUAUUAUGUAUAGCUACGUGUGUGGCUCUUCUGUGGUGUAAUCUGAGCUAUAACACCAUUAUCUGAGUGGUCUGCUGGUUUACCUUAACCAUUUUUAGUGUUACUUUGUCUUGUACUAGAAAGUGUAGGGAUACUUUCUUCUAAAGGAGCAGCAUUUUAAGGCACAUCUUUCACAUUGUUCACAGACACACCCUAUAUUAAGUGUAUACGUAUAUUUUUUUCCCACACAAUUAUAUUUCUUUGGAUCAUUCAUUACAACAUUGCGAGUAUACUUGCUUUGCGCAGUUUACACGUAUACCAGAGAAGUUCCCACUCUCUUGGUUCGUAUUAUACUUUCACACUCCUAUCUCUUUGUUUACCACUUUUGUAAUCUUCUCUAUCUCUAUUUAAUUUUUUUCUUUAGUAGUCACAAUCUUCUCUUGUAAUUUUUACAUUUAAGUUAUUUACUAUUUCUUCCAAUUAUUUCCUCGUUACAUUCCUCACUUAUUUUCAAAUGUUCUAUUUCUUGCAUCUCUCAUAGAGGUGGUCAUUAACCUACAAUAUGCCAUUAUAAAAACCAGCUGAGGUCAGAUAAGAUAGUAGUGGAUAAAAAUGUAAUAUUUACACACAUGCACUUAAAGCAAUCCCCACUGCCCUGAGGGUGAAAUGUAUACAGAAAAACACAAUACAAUCAGGUAAGUGGAAAAAGUGCAAAAAUGCAAAGUGCAGGCAAGACAAUAGCAAAAAGGGUCACUGCAGCCCAGCCCUCCAGAAGGGGGGAAAGCAAUUCAAAUAACACUACCCAGAGGGAAAUAAAUACACCAGAGCCUGCCAGUAACAUAGGCACAUCAGAACAUGAGUGAGAGAGUGUGGGGCAGGCAUAGCCUGUCAGGGAAUAGGGAAAAAGAGUAAUGAGGCAGGCGGACAGGCAGAGCCUGCCAGGAAAGGGACAAAUAAGCAGCAGACACAAUCCAGCAAACUGACACAACAAUACAAUAUAGACAGUGAAGAGAGCAGAAACUCUGAGCUGUCCUUGUCAUGGAGCAGCAAAGAAAGAGGAGGUGCUUGGGUUCACUGUGCCUUAUAUAUACAUUACUUGUUUCUGAUUGGUUCUUGUUUUUUCUUUGCUUCUAUGGAGUGAAGUAAAGAAAGAUAUGCAAAAUAUUAAGCCUCCUGUCAUGUUGUAAAAUUAUGGUUGAUCAGACAUAUAGCUCAAAUUCAAGGGUUUGUUUUGAUUUUGUUUUGAUCAGAACGUGUUCAAUUGCCUCUAGGGGUUAAUUCAAUAAAUUAAAUUUAAAUAUCUAGAAUACUGCAUAUAGUAUCAUUUUCAGAAUGUUCUCUUUUUUUUUUACAGCUUGAGACGGUCAUAGAUGGUGUUAUGGAAGUUACCAAUCAGAAGUUACGUGAUGUUCAAAGUAUGUAGAAAUACAUUUUAAAUUCUCUUUCACAAUACACGUUUAUUGUACUUUUUGACACAUUAAAAAAAAAAAAAAAAAGAUUAAAUUCCUCUGGAAACGGUUGAUCAGGCAUUUGUGCACUAAAGCUUCAUGAAAAUAUUAAAGGACCACUCUAGACACCCAGACCACUUCAGCUUAAUGAAGUGGUCUGGGUGCCAGGUCCAGCUAGGGUUAACCCAUUUUUUUAUAAACAUAGCAGUUUCAGAGAAACUGUUAUGUUUAUAAAUGGGUUAAUCCAGCCCUCAAAUCCUCUAGUGGCUGUCUCAUUGACAGCCGCUAGAGGCACUUGCGUGAUUCUCACUGUGAAAAUCACAGUGAGAGCACGCAAGCGUCCAUAGGAAAGCAUUAUGAAUGCUUUCCUAUGCGACCGGCUGAAUGCGCGCGCAGCUCUUGCCGCGCGUGCGCAUUCAGCCGACGGGGCAGAUCGGAGGAGGAGAGAAGGAGGAGAGCUCUCCGCCCAGCGCUGGAAAAAGGUAAGUUUAAACCCCUUUCCCCUUUCCAGAGCCGGGCGGGAGGGGGACCCUGAGGGUGGGGGCACCCUCAGUGCACUAUAGUGCCAGGAAAACGAGUAUGUUUUCCUGGCACUAUAGUGGUUUUUUAAUUACAGACGCAAAACAAUCCCGCUAAAUGUACAUUAGUGUAUUCGUGUAAUCCAUAUUUUACAUUUAUUACUUUAUCUAAUGAGUCUGCUGUCUGUCUGGUAUUUCACAGAGCCCACUUCGACUACUGAAGAUGCAGUUGUUCAAGUUGUAGCAACAGACGUUAAAUUAGUUGAAGGAGUUUUGCAAAUUACAUCAAAUGUAAGUCUAUUUGUUUAGUUGUGAUACUUUUAAAAAAUCCAUACAAAGAAUACAAAUUGCAAUGAUACACUGUGUGUGAAUUCGAAUUCUAAGUUAUGACUUACUAAGUAUAUUUUUUUCUUAAGCAAAGAUUUCAGAUCAAUUCAGUAUUAAAUGAAACUUCACAUAUAAAGUGAUCCCAUCAUGAAAGGAAAUGAUCCAAUAUUUACAAUAAAUGUAUCCCUCAAGGGCGGGUGUCGGACACCAGGUGUGGACUACAUCUACCCUGAUGUUUUUACAGCAUUAUAACUGUUAGAGUAUUAUGGGAGAUGUAGUCCACAACAUCUGGAGUGCCGAAGGUUGCUUACCCCUGCUUCUAGGGAACACCAAAUAACACAUAGAGUAAGUAUUGAACAAAGGUAUUCUAAGACUGAUAGAACCUGGGAUUAUCUACCCCCAGCAGCUUAGUUACACACAAUCAGCUGAAACAGAACUAUAAAAAAGGGAUAUAUAGGUAAUAAGUCAAUAUUAAAGUGGAGCGCUUUUAAAGGAAAAAAUUAUAAACAUACAUAAAUAGCUUACCCCUCAAUAAUACACCAAACAAAAUAUAUGAAAUAAAAGACCAUAAACACUAUAUAGUGCAGAUAGUACAAAGUUCUUAUUAUAUAAUAAAUGGUGGUUUUAACAACUCACAUGGACACGGACAUGUACAUAACUAGCUCAGUAGACGGCCCUUUUAUGCUCUUAAGGGGGGGUAGGUAGGGUAUUUCUAUUGGGGUGAGUAACUAGGGGCUUGGGGAACCCUUGUCACUUUCUUAUUUGUGGUCCCCACACGCCGCUAAUGGGUGGGUACCUUGGGGGUACAUUAGGUCCCCCGCAUUAUUUAUUUGCUUAGGGUCCCCACCCGCCGCUCAUGGCUGGGGACCAGGGGGGACAUUAGGUUCCCCCAUUUAUAUUAACCCCUUAAGGACGGCGGCCGUGCUAUGCCAUCCUUGUGGACCCGGCUCUAAACGCCGGGGGGCGGCAUAGCACGUCCCUGCCGUCCUUUCUACUUUCGCCAGCGAUCGCGAUGCAGGGACUCACCUGGCAGCCCAGGGAGUCCCCCUCCAUCCGUUCCAGCCCCCCUGGCCCAUGUGAUCGUGAGGUCCUUGCGUAGAGUUCGCGAUCAUAUGGACGGCACAGCCGUCCCAAAAAAAUGAUCGAAGUAUGUGUGUGUGUAUAUAUAUUACACACACACACAUAAAUAGUCUAAGUGUAUUUUAAUCAUGGGGGUAAUUCUCAUUCCUGUGCUACCAUACGGUCUCAAAGGCAACGUAACCAAUCUGGCGAAUUUCAAUGUGAAAAAAAUGAAAAGGGUAACAUGCUAUAUUUGACCUUGUAACUUCCCAAAACACCAGUUUCCAGUUUCCGGCCAGACUGAAAGGAAGUGUGCACACUCCCUACUGUAUGAGCAACAGUUUAUAGUCUGACUCGGUUAUUCAGUGGAAUCGCCUCUAGUGGCUGUCAGGAGGAUAGAAUGUCAGGAAGACAGUCACUAGAGGCAUGUUAAACCCUGCAAUCAUAACAUCACCAUAUCUACUGAAAAGCAAUGUUUUACACUACAGGGUUAAAACUAAAGAGCCACUACACUCAGUCCACUUGAUUGAGAUGGAGUGAUCUGGGUGCCUUCAGUGUCCUUUUAAAUUGUAAAUUUACUUUGAAUUCUCACUUUAGUAAAUAACCCUUAGAUUCUUACAUCUCAACAUUCCUCCAUACUGUAUUCCAUUCCGCAAAUUGACUUUUAUACCACCCCACAUACUGGCUCCGUCAUACCGCCCCACAUCCUGACUUUGUCAUACCACCCCACAUACUGGCUGACUCAGUUCAACCACCCCACAUAUUUGCUCUGUCAAACAACCCCACAUACUGGCUUUGUCAUACUACCCCACAUACUUACUACGUCAUACCACUCCACAUACUUGCUCCGUCAUACCACCCCACAUUCUGACUCCAUCAUACCACCCCACAUACUGGCUCCAUUACACCACCCCACAUACUGGCACUGUCAUACCACCCCACAUUCUGACUCCGCCAUACCACCCCACAUCCUGACUCUGUCAUACCACCCCACAUAUUGGCUCCAUUACACCACCCACAUACUAGUUCGGUCAUACUGCCCCACAUACUGGCUCGGUCAUACCGCCCCACAUACUGGCUCGGUCAUACCGCCCCACAUACUGUCUUCAUUACACCACAUUACACCACCCCACAUACUGGCUCUGUCAUACCACCCCACAUACUGGCUUCAUUACACCACCCCACAUACUGACUCGAUGUCACUGCAGCUAUAUGAUCCACAAUCCUUUUUUCUUCUGCUUUUAUUCUGAAAAUCAUACAUUUAUGGGUAAAAUCUUAACAAUCAAGUGUGGUAAGGUGGACAUUUCUGUAAUUUUUUUUAGUCAUUCUUAAUAGAAAAUGUAUGUUUUUUGUACUCCUUAGAUCAUUGAUAAAGUUACGAAAACAGCACUGGAAUGUUUAAUUAAUCCAGCGAUUGUAUCACCAUUAAAUUAUCUAAUUUCGAUCAAUAUUCAAGAAAAGUUACUU